UACAGAGGUGGCAAGCGUUGUUCGGAAUUACUGGGCGUAAAGGGCGAGUAGGCGGCCUUCUAAGUCAGACGUGAAAUCCCCCGGCUUAACCUGGGAACUGCGUCUGAUACUGGGAGCUCGAGUAUGGGAGAGGGAUGUAGAAUUCCAGGUGUAGCGGUGAAAUGCGUAGAUAUCUGGAGGAAUACCGGUGGCGAAGGCGGGCAUCCUGGACCUUACGUGACGCUGAAUCGCGAAAGC
rnacentral:rRNA from 1 species